GAUGAACGCUGACGGAAUGCUUAACACAUGCAAGUCUUUCGCGAAGCUGUGCUUGCACCGCCUAGCCAAGGCGGACGGGUGAGUAACGCGUAAGGAACUUGCCCUUCAGUCUGGGAUAACAGACGGAAACGACUGAUAAGACCCGGUAAAGUCAGGCGGCCUCAUGUUCAGCCCGAUGAAAAGAGAUGCUGCAGGCGAGCCUUGCGUCCUAUUACCUUGUUGGUGGUGUAACGGCCCACCACGGCGAUGAUAGGCAGACGGCCUGAGAGAGUGGACGGCCACAAGGGGACUGGGAUACGGCGCUUACUCCAUCGGGCGACAGCAGUGGGGAAUAUUGGACAAUGGGGGCAAGCCUGAGACAGCAAUUCGGUGGGAACGAUGAAGGGUUUGGAAUGGUAAAGAGCUGUCUGAAGGGAAGAAAAAAUGACGGUACCUGCAGAAGAAGCGACGGCUAACUACGUG
rnacentral:rRNA from 1 species